rnacentral:rRNA from 1 species
UACGUAGGUGGCAAGCGUUGUCCGGAUUUACUGGGCGUAAAGGGCGUGCAGGCGGUUUGUUAAGUGCAGAGUGAAAGCUCCCGGCUCAACUGGGAGAGGUCUUUGCAUACUGGCAAACUCGAGGGAGGCAGAGGAAAGUGGAAUUCCCGGUGUAGUGGUGAUAUGCGUAGAUAUCGGGAGGAACACCUGUGGCGAAGGCGGCUUUCUGGGCCUUACCUGACGCUGAGACGCGAAAGCCAGGGGAGCAAACGGG